rnacentral:rRNA from 1 species
UAACUGAAGAGUUUGAUCAUGGCUCAGAUUGAACGCUGGCGGCAGGCUUAACACAUGCAAGUCGAGCGGGGGAAGGUAGCUUGCUACCGGACCUAGCGGCGGACGGGUGAGUAAUGCUUAGGAAUCUGCCUAUUAGUGGGGGACAACAUCUCGAAAGGGAUGCUAAUACCGCAUACGUCCUACGGGAGAAAGCAGGGGAUCUUCGGACCUUGCGCUAAUAGAUGAGCCUAAGUCGGAUUAGCUAGUUGGUGGGGUAAAGGCCUACCAAGGCGACGAUCUGUAGCGGGUCUGAGAGGAUGAUCCGCCACACUGGGACUGAGACACGGCCCAGACUCCUACGGGAGGCAGCAGUGGGGAAUAUUGGACAAUGGGGGGAACCCUGAUCCAGCCAUGCCGCGUGUGUGAAGAAGGCCUUAUGGUUGUAAAGCACUUUAAGCGAGGAGGAGGCUACUCUAGUUAAUACCUAGGGAUAGUGGACGUUACUCGCAGAAUAAGCACCGGCUAACUCUGUGCCAGCAGCCGCGGUAAUACAGAGGGUGCGAGCGUUAAUCGGAUUUACUGGG